rnacentral:rRNA from 1 species
UCCGUAGGCGGGCGACUAAGUCAGAGGUGGAAUCCCACAGCUUAACUGUGGAACUGCCUUUGAUACUGGUUGUCUUGAGUUAUAGUGAAGUAGAUAGAAUAUGUAGUGUAGCGGUGAAAUGCUUAGAUAUUACAUAGAAUACCGAUUGCGAAGGCAGUCUACUAACUAUAUACUGACGCUAAUGGACGAAAGCGUGGGGAGCGAACAGGAUUAGAUACCCUGGUAGUCC